UACGGGGGGAGCAAGCGUUGUUCGGAUUUACUUGGCGUAAAGGGCGCGUAGGCGGCCACCGCAAGUCGACUGUGAAAUCUCCGGGCUUAACCCGGAAAGGUCAGCCGAUACUGCGGGGCUAGAGUGCAGAAGGGGCAACUGGAAUUCUCGGUGUAGCGGUGAAAUGCGUAGAUAUCGAGAGGAACACCUGCGGCGAAGGCGGGUUGCUGGGCUGACACUGACGCUGAGGCGCGAAAGCUAGGGGAGCGAACGGG
rnacentral:rRNA from 1 species